AUGGAGGACAUCCAUCGCUUGCCCCAGGUAUUCCAAGGUUUCAAGAGACUAACUUACCUCAGCCUGAGCAUUUUCUCCUCCAUGGAUAGGGAUAUCCAAAAUUUGAUCUCCUUUUGCCCUGAACUGACUGAUUUGAGAUUGACUUCUUUUGAGGGCAUCAACUGUCUAAACAUUCAAGCCCCUAAACUGGAAUAUCUUUGUGUUGUUGGGGACAUUGAAGACAUUAAUUUGGAUGCCCCUAAUCUCGAGGAGGUCAUUCUCUGUCUUGAUCAGAAAGCUAAAUCAUAUCAAUCUGUUCCAGUUGCGCCUAACAAGGAAAGCUAUGUCAAGCUGUCAUUGGAAAGCCUAAGUGGCAUAAAAAAAACUUGGAAUUAUUGGCACUUUCAUGAAGGGUUGCAUACUUACGAAGCUCCCUGCCAUGUUUACUCGCCUGGAAGAUAUUGGUUUUAUGAUAAAUUUUGA
rnacentral:rRNA from 1 species